rnacentral:rRNA from 1 species
AUUGAACGCUAGCGGGAUGCUUUACACAUGCAAGUCGAACGAGUGGCGGACGGGUGAGUAAUAUAUCGGAACGUGCCCAGUGGCGGGGGAUCACUACUCGACAGAGUGGCUAAUACCGCCUACUAUUGGAGCGGCCGAUUUCGGAGUAGCUAGUUGGUGGGGUAAAGGCUCACCAAGGCCACGAUCCGUAGCUGGUUUGAGAGGACGACCAGCCACACUGGGACUGAGACACGGCCCAGACUCCUACGGGAGGCAGCAGUGGGGAAUGUUGGACAAUGGGGGAAACCCUGAUCCAGCCAUGCCGCGUGUAUGAGAAGGCCUUCGGAUUGUAAAGUACUUUUGGCAGAGAGGCGGUAUCUGCAGAAUAAGCACCGGCUAACUACGUGCCAGCAGCCGCGGUAAUAC